CAGAAAUGAAGAUACAACCUGAAAAGCGAAUUCAGCUAAAUGAGGAGGACUACACUUCUGCCACCACCAGAACCACUGGAUCAAUCCCAGAAAUGUACUCAACAUCUGGAAUAUCUUCAAAUAGUUCACAGCAACCACUGGAACCAAUUAAACUUAGGUUUUUAUGAAUUCCGAGCAAACGCUGUGCUACUACUAGGGUACAUCCCCAGCCACCAACGUCAGGAAAAUACAUCCUAUGUGCCCAGAGUGCUUAAGGAGAAGCAGAAAUGUGAACUGAAGUUCCCCAGCCGACUCUUGAGACAUGUUUCUGGCUUUCAUUUCUAUUCACACACCAUUCCUGAAAUACAGACUUCUUGCAAACUGUCUUCUCCAGUUGGGUUUCAGCUCUGCAUAGGUAGAUCUUCUUGGUUCGCUUGGCAUUGGAGCACCUGAAGAGUACCUGAUGGGACAGAUAGAUAAAAUGCUAAGCAGAUGCAAAGGCGAAUUGCCUCAGCCUGUAGACUCUGAUUAUUUCUGUCCAUUCUCCUUGACUUUCUGCAUUUCAUGUAUUCAUCCAUUGUUAACUUUUAUUUUCUUUUGAUACACUGCACGACUUUUGCAAGGUGAUUUUGUCUUACCUGACAACUAACAAUUGUACAUAUUUAUUUGGUGGUACAUGCAUAUGCACUGUGAUUCCACAAUGAUCUAAUGAAACUUUAAUUAGCAUGCCUAGCAACCAUUCCUUGAGGUUCAGCCAUUUAAAAUCUCUGUCAGCUAGUUCGAAAUGUAUCACCCAUGCUUUCCUGGGUGUGCCUAUCCAAAUCACUUAUUUCUUGCAGUGGAAGGUUGAGAGCGACACAGGCUGAUGAGUUUUUAAAAUGUGGUCUGAAUUAUUGGGUGAUGCAAAUGCAGCCACUCUGUGUGGUCAAGAGUCUCAUUAUUUAGAUUCUAUGUUUGUGAAUUCAUCCACGUGAUUAAAAUUUCUUCAGACCUCUUCAGAGGGGGUUCACUAUGAAGUGUGCUUGUCAGGUGUUUUGGUCCUCAGCUACUGGACGCACCUCUGAGAUUGUGGAGCCCUGAGCAUUCUGACCUAAUCAAUAGAUUAAUCCACAUGUGGAUUCAUAAUUUGAUAGCCCUGAGAGAUGGUUGAGAUUUGGGGAUGAGAGUGGAUGUAGUAAAAAAAUAUUUAAAAAAUCGUGGUGUGAGGUUUCUACCUGCCUUACACCAUUUAUGUUCUCUGAUGAAACAUGUACACAGCCUUUAUAUUUUUAAAUAUGCCUUAGGCAGCACAAUAGCUGGGCAGCUGCCUAUCCUCCAUGCUGUUAGACUCUGCUUUCCUACCGAUAACCCCAAGCCACCACUCACUAUUAACUGUGCUCCAUCUGGGCUGUUCUCAACUCCAACCAGGCAGCCCUCUGGGCCAUGUUCUCUUACCCCCUAGCCCGUGGCUGCUCUCUCCUGCACAUUCUUCUUCUAUCCCAUGGUGGUUUCUCUCAUCCCUUCUUUGUGGUUCACAAGCUCCAGAACCUAAACCCCACCUAUGUCUCUCCCCAACCCCCAGCACCCCAGCAAUUGGCUGUCAGCAUCUUUAUUCACCAAUCAGAAUUAACUUGGGGGCAGGGUUCCAGGGGUUCCAUCCAGACUCCAGGUUUUGCCCAUAUGAA
rnacentral:lncRNA from 1 species